rnacentral:rRNA from 1 species
UGCCAGCCGCCGCGGUAAUACGGAGGGUCCAAGCGUUAUCCGGAUUCACUGGGUUUAAAGGGUGCGUAGGCGGCUUAGUAAGUCAAUGGUGAAAUCUAACAGCUUAACUGUUAGCCUGCUGUUGAUACUGCUAGGCUUGAGUAUAGUAGGGGUGAGUGGAAUUCUACAUGUAGCGGUGAAAUGCAUAGAUAUGUAGAGGAACACCGAUAGCGAAGGCAACUCACUGGGCUAUUACUGACGCUGAGGUACGAAAGCGUGGGGAGCAAACAGGAUUAGAUA